CCCUUAGAUGUUCUGGGCUGCACGCGCGCUACACUGGUGCACUCAACAAGUUUACAACCUUGAUCGAUAGGUCUGGGUAAUCUUUUGAAUAUGCACCGUGCUAGGGAUAGAUUAUUGCAAUUAUUAAUCUUGAACGAGGAAUUCCUAGUAAAUGCAAGUCAUCAGCUUGCGUUGAUUACGUCCCUGCCCUUUGUACACACCGCCCGUCGCACCUACCGAUUGAAUGGUCCGGUGAAAUCUUCGGAUCUGAGAGAUGUCUGAUUAAUUUCGGACGCCUUUUGGAAAAGUUGCUUAAACCUUACCAUUUAGAGGAAGGUGAAGUCGUAACA
rnacentral:rRNA from 1 species